rnacentral:lncRNA from 1 species
UCCUCUAAAUAUAGUAUAAUUAAUAAUUAAUAAAUUUAUUUUUCUAUUUUUAAAGCCGAACCCUUUCGUCCGUGAGUUUUAGUUCUUUCAAAUUCAAAUACUCCAUCCACUAUAUUUUUAAGCCAAUAACUUUUUCAUAGUCAAAAGAGAGAAUAUCUUUUAUCUCAAAAAUACCUUUUUGUCUAACCUCCCCUUUCCAUCUCUACACAGGAUGUGCAAUCAAUUAUAAUCGAUCAAUUCUUGAAUAUAUGCUUUUAUUAAAAUUUCAUUCCAUUUAAUUUUUUCUAAUUUUGAUAAUCUAAAAUAAAAUUGAGAAUUAAAAUCAAAAUCUGAAACAAAUAGAGAAAAACAACACCCAUAUGAAAUCAAAGUAAAACCUACUACAAUCAACAAAUUGAGUUUAUCUCAAAGAAAUGAAAUCAUAAUCUCAAAUCAAAAUUUCAACCAAAUUGAGAAACCCACAUGCAAUCCAAGUGUACAACAAUAACAUAUAAUAUUUAAUAAAAUCUCAACAAUAUACAAGACAAAAAAAUGGCAGCAGAUCGUCUCAUGCAAUGAAUUCCAGAUGGCUGAAGUGCUGAGGUGAUUGAUGGCCGAGCAGUCGAGACAACGAGCUGUCUAGCUGAGGGGUUGAGGCGACGACUUGGUGAUGGCCGAGCAGUUGAGGCGACGAGCUGUUUUGGCUAAGGGGCUGAAGCGAUGAGCUACCAUGGUCGAGGAGCACAGCUGAAGGGCUGAGGCGAGAGCUCUUGUGGCCGAAGGGUUUAAGGCAAUGAGCUACUGUGGUUGAGGUGCUGAUGCGACCGGUGGUUGAUGGGGGUUGAGAAGAGUGGGAGGAUUUGUGUUUACUGAUACAUCGACAAUGAAGAAGAUAGAGAGAAAGAGCAUAUGUAGAGAAGAAAAAGUGAAUGGGU